rnacentral:rRNA from 1 species
CCUACGGGGGGCAGCAGUGGGGAAUCUUGCGCAAUGGGCGAAAGCCUGACGCAGCAACGCCGCGUGCGGGAAGAAGGCUUUCGGGCUGUAAACCGCUUUCAGCAGGAACGAAAAUGACGGUACCUGCAGAAGAAGGAGCGGCCAACUAUGUGCCAGCAGCCGCGGUGAUACAUAGGCUUCAAGCGUUGUCCGGAUUUAUUGGGCGUAAAGAGUUCGUAGGCGGUCAAGUAAGUCGGGUGUGAAAAUUCUGGGCUCAACCCAGAGACGCCACCCGAUACUGCUUAACUUGAGUUCGAUAGGGGAGUGGGGAAUUCCUAGUGUAGCGGUGAAAUGCGCAGAUAUUAGGAGGAACACCGGUGGCGAAGGCGCCACUCUGGAUCGAUACUGACGCUGAGGAACGAAAGCAUGGGUAGCAAACAGGAUUAGAUACCCUGGUAGUCCAUGCCGUAAACGGUGGGCACUAGGUGUGGGUUUCUAUUAACGAAAUCCGCGCCGUCGCUAACGCAUUAAGUGCCCCGCCUGGGGAGUCGGUCGCAAGACUAAAACUCAAAGGAAUUGACGGCNGAGACGNGCGACGACGACGACGAGGGAGUAG